rnacentral:rRNA from 1 species
UACAGGGGGUGCAAACGUUGCUCGGAAUUAUUGGGCGUAAAGCGCACGUAGGCGGUUUGUUAUGUCGGGUGUGAAAUCCCUCGGCUCAACUGAGGAAGUGCAUCCGAAACUGGCAGACUAGAGUAUGUAAGAGGGUCGCGGAAUUCCCGGUGUAGAGGUGAAAGUCGUAGAUAUCGGGAGGAACACCGGUGGCGAAGGCGGCGACCUGGGACAAUACUGACGCUGAGGUGCGAAAGCGUGGGGAGCAAACAGG